AAUCUUCAAAACCCUUUUCUUUGAUCCAUUUUGGUCGGGAAAAGGAUUUUUGGACUUGGAGGUUCAAUGCUCGCCCUUUCUUUUGAAAGCGAGCUCCUCUCAAAUGAAUCAGUGGGGUCCGCUUUGCUGAUCCUUGACGUGAUAAGAUGUUUCUACGUUUUGGGUUUAGCACUGUCCCUUGGACGCCUGCUCCUAACCGUCUCACGGACAAUGAUGGUGCUCUGGUCACCGCCGUCUACAUCGGCGGGAGGCUGGACCCACGAAAAGAAAA
rnacentral:misc_RNA from 1 species